AACGACUCAGUCUACUCUAAUAUGAGACUAAGUUACUACUCACAACAACAUUACGCAAGGAUCUAAUUCUACCAAGAGCUUCAAGCUAGAUCGUCUAUCCCUUAUGCAAAAACUACUACUUCGAGCUUUUGCGCUCAUUUAUUCAACUAUCUCGAGACAAGGUUUUUUUCGUUUGUCUGCUUCCUUUUUUUAUUUUUGAGAUUUUCAAUUUUUUUUUCUCUUUUUCUCAUUUUUUUAAGAUUCUACAUAUACAUCAAAUUGUUACAAGGGAGACUAUAUAAUCCCGUAUUAAAUUCAAAACUUAGUAACUUUUAUUUCUCGACUCGACCGAGUUACAUGUCACUAAUGUACACAUGAUCAAAUGAAAGGUUGAAAGAAAGGGGAUAUGAUAUUAUGGAGGUUAUGAACAAAGGGUUUUUGGCUAUGAUUGGGUUACCUAUGGGAAAAUAUAAGGACUGGAUGGAUAUUUUUCGCUGGGGCUUUUCUAAGUAC
rnacentral:lncRNA from 1 species